rnacentral:lncRNA from 1 species
CCAGAACCUGCACUACUAAACACUAGGCUCUGCUGUCUAAUAACCAAGCUAGGUCUUAUCUUUUACCUCUACUUUCACAUAUCCAGAAGCAUGAAUCCCUGGCCUGAACUGGGGAAGUCACUUUCAGGAUUAAAGGCAGCCAACAGAACAUCAGCACCCAGAGCCCUGGAGAACAGCAUCUGUGUUUGAGUGGUAAAGUGUCAACAGGCCGCUUAAGGAGGAGUGGGUAUAGGGAGAGAGAGGCUGCAUUUCUAAAAUAUCUCUGAGAACAAGCUGCUUUUCAGAAUUCAAAUCAACAUGUGAUCUUCUUCACUUUAGGGGUAUAUGCAGGAAGCCAUUAGACACAACCAGCAAAGGGCCAUACGGCAGAUAACGUGUGACUUCUUCCCUUUCGUGUACCACAGAAGUCCAUUGGUGGUGAAUAUGUGAACAGCUA